CUGCUGGGGCCUUUAAAUGCAAAUCCAUUCUUUGGACACUGUCCUGGCCGCAUCAUUUGUGAGUACAAGUCCAUCCUCUGCUGCAUACUACAAACACAAGUUAAGACAGAAGCAAUCAGAAGCCAAACUAAUGCAGGAAAGAGCAACUGGCUAUGCAACCUUAACCUUUCUUAAAGUGUUGGGCAGAUGUCAAAGCUCAGGCUCAGAAUUAGACACUCAUAAUGCUCCCACCACCAUGGCAUUAAGAGCAAUUCAACAACAGAAACUACACUGGGGUAAUCAGCUUUCCCUAACUGCACAACACAUGGGUACACACAGAAUCUAGUUGAAGACCACUGUCCCCAGACUCUGGCAGCCCCAACUGCCUGACCUCAAGAGACUGCCCCUGGAGACAAACAUCUCCUGCACAGCCACACAUGCCCAAAGUCUCUGGAGGAAAAGUUAACAUGCUCACUACUAAAUAGAUUUGCACAGACCACUACUUACCCCUAAAGUUGUGCUAAUACUGAAGGAUGUCACUGGCUUAUCUUAUUUACUCUAUAAUUUUAUGAAAGUAAAAAAAUAAAUUAAGAACUCACUUCUCCAAGAACUCAUACUUGCUCAAAGCUACCUCGAUAAUUUUGCUUUAUCUUCCAUGCAUGGCAUCAAGAAUCUAACCAUUUGCAUUGCCAUUUCAAUGCUCUUCCUUAGACCUGAGAUAACCUCUCCAAACCACACUAGAGAGGUAGCUCUCAGAUGACCUCCUCUUCUGCUCUCCCAGCCCAAGGCUAUGAAAAUAUGAAAAAAAUUUCUACUGGGCUCUAUCAGUCUUCCCUUUGUGUCCUUACACUGGUGUUUCAAUCCUUACCUAAGCUGGUACACCUGAAGACUAAGUUUAGCCCAAAGGGUACUGUCCUAAGAUGCCUUGUGGAGGAGUCCUCCCUCCACACGAGUCCUACAGUGUUAGCCUUAUAUUCCACCUCCCUAAAUUAAAGCUCAUCUUCUUGAGUGCCUCUGUAGCUUCCAAUUCCAGUAGGCACAUUUGCCCCCAAGCAUAUGUCCUCAUCAGUUUUCAGUCUUGACCUCACCAAGUUCCCAUAAUUUGCAAAGCCCUGAGUCAUCUUUAUGCAGCAGAGCAUGGAAGGGAACAGUUUAAUCACAGCAGGUAAGAGUAAAUCAGCAGACAAGCCAUUCCUGGACACAAUAUAUAGAUGGUUAUAGCCGCCCUUCAGAGAAACCUCUUCAAGGUGUUUCAGGAAGUGAAUGAAAUUUGACAGAGGUUUAACAUUGCUGCUUCUACAGGGAACAGCUGUCCAUGUCUAGAAAGAAAGCUGCUUUUCCUUUUUCCACAGGAACUGCUUAUAAAUCUUGUUUAUGCCCACAACUGCAUUCCUGGGUACCUUUGUGACAUCAUCUUCACUGGUGGUUCCACUAGAUAGAUAGUCUGGUGCCAAGGACAGCACUUGUAAUGAUUUUUGUCAAUUUUGAGCCUAUUGUCAGAAAAGACAGCUGUAGGAAGUAGCUGUAGAGUGAGGAUAUGAAUCCACGGCAGAUAUGCCCAUCCCACAGUUUGGAUGCAAGCUCCAGACACAGCAUCUUCUGUGGUCAAUGGCAACUGCCAGAUUUUAAAGGUCUUUCAUAGCCUUUCUCAAAGGCUAAAGGUGUUACCUGCUCCGACUCCCUAAGAGAAGAUAAAAUAUGGACUGUUCCCAGCCAAUUCUAUAUUCACCCAGUCUGAGGGGUAACAACCUCCCAGAGGAACAGCAGCAAGUGACUUAGAGUGGUCAUGUCUCCAGAUGGAAAAGAAGUCAAUAGAAGACACAUGAAAAUGUAGUAGAAAGUGUGCAGGCAGGCAUACAAGACAAGUAUUCCCAGCUACAUUCUUUAAUCAAACAAGCCUCAGGAACAAAUACUUGUAUGUUUUACAUCAGGCCAGACAGAAUUUCUACAGUUGCUCUUAGUAGGUGUAUACCACUAUAUAAUGAUGCAGUGCAAGAGCUUGAACUCUUUUUAUAUUUGUCUAGUACUUGAAAUCAAAUAUGAUAUGCAGCAUUUCCCAAUGCAAAUCUUUUUUUCUUAUGAACUGAUCUCUCUUCUUGAAUCUCAUCAACAGGCAGGAUUGGAAUGUUUCCAAUCAGUAUUUCUGAGAUUGUUGUAUUCUCCAAAGAAUCUCAAAAUAAAACAAUUAAGUUUCAGAAAUCAGUUUUGGAUGCAUGAACAUGUUUUCACAUGUUCUAAAGGUUGAUGUUGGCAUUCAAGCAGCAUUUAUACACCUCAAGGGAUCCCAAAUAUUCAUCACUAAAAUAUGUGAAAAUAUUGAGGUUCACUGUCUCUCCUGAUUUUCUAACAAGUUUUUCCAUUAUACAUUUGCUUAACAGAUACCAAUAUCCAGAAGGAAGCUGUGGUUUAUAUUACAAGUGGGUGUGAGUUGGGAGCAGUCAGCAUACAUAACCAAGCAGCUUUUCAGAUCUCUGCCAAGUAUCUUGCAGGUCCAUCAAGAGAACCACAAACAUACCCAGCACUAUUUGCACAUAGGAACAAAUGUGUGCAUAGACACCAUCUAGAGGUUUCAAUUCUCUCCCUGCAGUUUUUGUAUCCCCGUUUUUCCUUUGGAUUUUUUAUCUGCAGUCCUAAAAGGUUUUUUUGUUUGUGAAGUAUAUUAACUGUUGUCUGCUUUGUGACAGAUACUGGUACAAUAUCCUUUCAUCGAGGUACCGAUUCAGAGCUUCUAUUAAUUUCAGGACUGUAAGACAGCUCCUGAUUUCAAGUUAGUCUAAAUUCGUAUUCCUUACUUUAAUACUCAGAGGAGCACUAGCAGUGAAAGAAAACCUGUCAGACUCAUCCAUUAGAGUUCCAUCCAUUAGAGUUUCAAGAUUAAUUUAUUUCCCCUCUUUUCUAGGCCUAGGAAGAUCAGCAGAGCCAGAGCACCUCUGCAGCACCUCAAAGUGAGAUCCUCUGACUGAAGCCAGCAGGAGGAACAGGAAAAAUAAAGGACACACGUUACCAAGUAGCCUUCAGAAAAACUCAAAAAUUGACAGAGGAUCCCAGACUUCAGUGAAGAGCAGAUCUUUUCAGAAACUGUUAACAGGGGAACAGUCUGAAGAUGACAGUAAGAGCUGCUACCUGAAAAUCAAGUCAUUGAGUAUAUUAAGGAAUCAAAAGGAAGAAGUCCCCACCAGUCUCCAUGGCAGCAUUUUGUAUGGUGGGCUGAGUAAAAACUUGGACACUGCUACUAGCAACAACAUUUUAACAGAUGUACCAGCUUUGAAGAAAGUUGGGGUUUGUUUGGUUUGUUAUUUAAUUUAAAUAAUUUUGCUGUCUUAAUAUCCAGAUAGCUGUUGAUCAGAGCAUUACUGUUCUACUGCUUUCACACAUCAUGGCAGUUUUACUAAUUAGAACCUACAAAUGAAGAGAUAAUGACAGCCUAUGGAGGCAUGCAACAAUUAGUCUUCCCUGCUAAUGCACCCCUCCUCCAAUGAAAUAUGGUAGUAGUUAAAGGCAUCCCUGCUGUUCUAAUCCUUGGCAAGCUACAUUUAUUUUGAAAGUGAAUAAUUAAGUGUCCCCCCCAAACAAUCAUUCUGGUGACAAAUUUGUGACAUUAACUAAAGAGUUAAGGUUAUUUUGACAAAUUCAUGAUGGAGAGCAGCUCAAUGGAACAAGGACAGGUAAUGGAGUCCCAAAUUCAGACACUUUAUUUAAAACAUUUGAACUCCAUUUACUGGACAGCAACUAAAAGCCACCAAUAAGCUUUUAUAUCCAGUGAGCCCAUCACUGCAGAUGUGAUUUCAUGCAAUCCAAGCUGACAUACUUAGCAUAAAAAUAAUAAUAAAAACAAAAUCACAAGAGUUUAAGAGAUGUGGUCCAGAGUGUUGAUGUGAUGCUGUGAGUACUACUAAAAGAGGUUUUGUUUCUGGCUGCUGCUGUUCUCCAUCUGUGACAGAGCUCCCAGGCUAAAUACACAUAUGGUUGUUUCCUAACCCAGUUCUGUCAAGUGGUGCUGGUUAGCCAGACACAGAAAUAUGUAAACAAAGCUGCUGGCAGCAGCUCUGACUGGUAUCGCCCACUUGUUCCUAGGUUUGCCAGUUUUAAAUUCCCUGUAACUUAAUUGUGCUUCAAAAAGAGUCUGAGCAAUAACCAAGGUUAGAAAAGACUCACUUGUUUCCCAUGAUGAUCAUAAUGGAGAAUCUGAUUCAUCACAGAGAACAAGUGAGACUUUUUUCUAACCUUAAUUAUUGCUCUGAUUGGUCAUUUUACUUUUACACGUACAUCUUCAUGUAUGUAUACAUAAAUAUUACUGCUAUAUGGUAUGUUGCACAUGUAUAUACUUCUACAAGGUUAUAAUGUAUAUACUUCUAGUAGGUGUGAUGAGAAAACACACACCUUGUCCAGAGCAGGAAGGGACAUAAGCAGACAUGAAAACACUAAGACACUACCCUUUAUUUCCCUGUGCAGCAAGUGUCAGAAUUAUACAUUUAUCACCUAAAAAGGCCUUUUAACUCAAACCACUCCAAUGGAGAGAACUGUACACACUGGCCCAACAGAGUGAUAACCCCAACUUAGCCACUAUUAGACAAACACACUGGAACAGACCCACACUCUCAAGCAGUGCCCAUAUCUCUCAAGACAAGCCCCACAAAGGUGUGAACAAACAAGUUUAUACCUACCCACCUUGGUUCAACAGCACAAGAAUUUACCAUAGGGGACAGAGCACAAGAAUGCUCUUCCACUAAUUUUGAGUUCAAGGACUUCCUGAGCCAGGUGUGGUUUCUGUGUAUUCACUAACUCACAAUGAAUUUCCUGCCAUGGAAUUUAUCCAGUUUGUUUGAACCUACACCAAGUUUCAGUUUCCAUAUCAUGUUUUGGCUACAAGUCCUACAAUUAAGAAUCUCUUCUUUCCACUAUGCUAUUUUAAAUACUUUUUAAAAAAGUAAAAAUGUAUUACUACAUGUAUGGAUUUUGACAGAUACUUUUGAGGCUUUAAAGGCACUGCUUAAAAGUGAUAAAAACAGCAUCAGAACUUAAUAAACACAAUAAGAUUCAACUUUGUUUUAAAACUGUUUAGCCUGUAGCAAUAGCUUUCAAGUUUGUAUACAGUAAAAGAUUCUAUAGGAUGUGUUAGCAAUUGCCAAGUAGAGCAGUUAUUUCCAAUGUAUGUACAGCACCUAAUACACCUAGGAUUAGAUAAAGGAAACUCCUCCUUCCCAUGGAUCCUAUUGUUCUUUCUUAAAAGCUUGGGACUAGGCAGAGAGGAAGACCACUGAUUUGCUGUCAGAACAUGUUGCCAGAUAUAAUUACAAGCUGAACAGUGAUAUCAAAGACUGACAGAUCCUGAAUAACUUGCUCUCCCUCCUUUUCAUUAGGAAUUCACUAAAGCUAUUUUAAUAGCUUAGAAGGCAUCAAUUUCUUUACACCACUGGUUUCAUCACCAAAGCUGUAAGAGCAUUAGGACAAGUCUGAGAGUUUCAGGAUAUCUGAUAGGUACUGAAAACCAAACCAAUAUCUCCCUGCUUUCCACCAUUUAAGUUGAUUUCUGUGUGGAAAAUGGAGUUGGACUAUUAUAAAGCCACUUGACCUUGCAAAACACAAGCUCUAAAAGCUUUUGGCAGUAGCUCAAAGAAGUUUUCCUUAUUUCCAUAAAUAUUCACUAGUUAGAUUUAUGAACUAUUGUCUGACCAUUACCUACCAGCUCUAUAUUACUUUUCCUGGAUGUGCUUUUAAAUGGAACACUUAGUACAGAGGAUACCCUAUUCUUCCUGCUGCACAUAGCUAAUUUUUGACUUAAAAAAAAAAAGCUACAUUUAGGAGAGUUCUGAUUGCUGUUUCAAAUGGACUCUAUUUUUUGUAUCCUGGAUAAAGCACAGAAACUUGCCUGAAAAGCAAUAAGUAUUAAAAAAAAAGAGAAACAAACAAAAAAGAGAAACAAACCUAAACCAAAACCAAACCAAACCCUCAAAAUACCAAGCCAAAAACAUUCUCUACAAAGAAUCACUACAUCUAUUGGAGUACAUACAAAUUGUCUGUAGAUAAACAUUCUGGGUGGAAAAGCAAUACCUAAACACCAAAUUUCACAACAAAGAAGCCAACUUGAGUCCAGAAAUUUUUCCUUAUUUUCUUUAAAAGAGCAGUAUUUGUAAUUGGCAGAGAAACUAUGUAGUAAUGGUUUCCUAAAAACAGUGAACAACUGCCAGUUAAACAAGAAAAUAAAAUGGAUAUUUUGGGGCUUGGGAUUGAUCUGUCUGUGACCAGCAUAUAUGCCCACAGCCCAAGCAGCCAGUGGUGAAACUCACAUGGGAACUCAUUCAGUGAGAAAUCACUAGGACAUGACAUUUAGCCUGCAGUGGCCAGUCUAUUCUUAAGAAGUAAAAUAUAUUAGUAACCACAGACUAUUACUGCUACUAUGUUUUCAUGAAAUAUAGAACCGUUACUGAGAACCUUGUUUUAUAUUGCCAGUGCAAGUUUGGAAUUUUAUUUUUCUUAAUCUUACAUUAACAAGGCUGAGUUUGAUAAUAUCAUAACCAUAAAACAGAUAUUGAAGGCAUUAUAGAAAGUAACUCAUGAGUGAAGGAAACAUUUUAAUAAAAAACCACAACAGUCAUUUCACAGACAUAUAGAUAAAGUAAUAAGAAAACCUUUGUUAUCUUACAGGUAUUGAAGUGCUCAUAUUGCUUAACAGCUUCCUAAGUAGCUCUUUGGUCCCUGCUGCAGAGAUAAAAAAAACUCAAGUUGUCCAGCAGAUUUCCUACCAGAGAAAAUGUUUAUGGCUUAAAGGGAACAUGGCUCCUUCCAAGGCCUCAUGACUGCAGAGGGCAACAGGUAUCCAGAGAUUUUGUUCUGUAGCAGAUAGCUAAUACAUCCAGAAAAACCAAAAGCCCUUUGUGAGAGGUUUUGAUGAGGACAGGAAGAACACAUGCCUCUAUAUUCUUUAGAUAUGCAUUCAAUACAAUAGUAGUCAUAGAAGUAAACAGUUUUCAUCAUAAAGGUCAAAAUUUACUUUGUUACAAACACAAAGAGGCAGUAUUUCAGAAGUUGCUAAGGCAGACCCCAGCCCAUUCAUUCUAAAGAGGGGCCAAGGGCUUCUUUGUGGACAUGGGAAAGAGUACUGCACAUGUCAAUUCCCACUGAGGGCAUAACAAAGAAAACUAGUAAGUUUUAGAGGAAUGUUAGGUGAAACAAAAAUAAUAAAAAAUAUCCCUAGGACUGAAAUGUGUGUCCUAGGUUAAAAAAGAAAACAAAAACAAAGAAACACUAACCGGCCUCCCUGUCCCCCAAACAUUGCUACCUGCAAUACCAUAAAACUUGGAAAAUCCCUAGUUAUCCUGAAAUUGUUUCCCUGAACAAGAUACCAAACAAGGUGUUCUUGGUAUCACAAGUCCUUAGCAGAGCAGACAAUGUUCUUUUGUGAAUUUUGUGCAUUUUCUGGGGACAAUAAAAAAAAAAAAAAAAAAAAAA